UACGGAGGGUGCAAGCGUUAUCCGGAUUCACUGGGUUUAAAGGGUGCGUAGGUGGGUAGGUAAGUCAGUGGUGAAAUCUCCGGGCUUAACCCGGAAACUGCCGUUGAUACUAUCUAUCUUGAAUAUCGUGGAGGUGAGCGGAAUAUGUCAUGUAGCGGUGAAAUGCUUAGAUAUGACAUAGAACAUCAAUUGCGAAGGCAGCUCGCUACACGGUUAUUGACGCUGAGGCACGAAAGCGUGGGGAUCAAACAGG
rnacentral:rRNA from 1 species